rnacentral:rRNA from 1 species
UGAGUACGAGACGCUACGGCGUCGAAGCAGUCUAUGUCAUACUUCCAAGAAAAGCUUGCACUGUCAUAAACAAAUAAUGCCUGUACCAUAACCGACACAGGUGGGUAGGUAGAGUAUACUAAGGGGCGCGAGAUAACUCUCUCUAAGGAACUCGGCAAAAUGACUCCGUAACUUCGGGAGAAGGAGUGCCUUAUUCUUAAGGUUGCAAUAACAAGAUCCAAGCAACUGUUUAUCAAAAACACAGGUCUCCGCUAAGUCGUAAGACGAUGUAUGGGGGCUGACGCCUGCCCAGUGCCAGAAGGUUAAAGAAGUUGGUUAGCAUUCGCGAAGCUGAUAACUGAAGCCCUGGUGAACGGCGGCCGUAACUAUAACGGUCCUAAGGUAGCGAAACUCCUUGUCGGGUAAGUUCCGACCCGCACGAAAGGCGUAAUGAUUUGGAUACUGUCUCGGAGAGGGGCUCGGUGAAAUAGACUUGUCUGUGAAGAUGCGGACUACCUGCACCUGGACAGAAAGACCCUAUGAAGCUUUACUGUAACUUGAAAUUGAAAUUGGACUUUAUUUGCGCAGUAUAGGUGGGAGGCGUUGAGAAUAUUCUUGCGGGAAUAUUGGAGCCAUCAGUGAGAUACCACUCUUGUAAUGUUAGAUUUCUGACUUUGAAUCAUUAUCUGGUCAAAGGACAGUUUCAGGCGGGCAGUUUGACUGGGGCGGUCGCCUCCUAAAUGGUAACGGAGGCGCACAAAGGUUUCCUCUGAACGGGUAGAAAUCGUAUCUAGAGUGUAAAGGCAUAAGGAAGCUUGACUGUGAGACCUACAAGUCGAGCAGGGACGAAAGUCGGUCUUAGUGAUCUGACGGUGCUGAGUGGAAAGGCCGUCACUCAACGGAUAAAAGUUACUCUAGGAUAACAGGCUGAUCUCCCCCAAGAGUUCACAUCGACGGGGAGGUUUGGCACCUCGAUGUCGGCUCAUCGCAUCCUGGGGCGGUAGUACGUCCCAAGGGUUGGGCUGUUCGCCCAUGAAAGCGGUACGCGAGCUGGGUUCAGAACGUCGUGAGACAGUUCGGUCCAUAUCCGGUGUAGGCGUUAGAAUAUUGAGAGGAGCCUUCUUUAGUACGAGAGGACCGAGAAGGACAUACCUCUGGUGUACCAGUUAUCGUGCCAACGGUAAACGCUGGGUAGCUAUGUAUGGAGAGGAUAACCGCUGAAAGCAUCUAAGUGGGAAGCCCACCUCAAGAUAAGUAUUCUC